UCCCUCUCAGGGUCACAUCUGGAGAGUUUCCAGUCCUCUACCAGUCUCAGCUAUGGGAGAGAGAGUCAAGCAGAUGCCUAUCCAUUUCAUUCCUAGCUUGGGAAGUGGCUGGCGAGUGGAAGGCAAUCUGCUAUAAGU